UGUUGUUUUUCCUACUCAGGGAUUGGUG
rnacentral:piRNA from 1 species